UCAACUAGGACUUAGAUUAGGGACUUAGGCACACUUUGGUGCCAUUUAUGGUGUUUGCGGCCCAAGAACAUUCUUGGACCGUGAACACCUCUAAUAUUGUGUUCUUGACAUAUUUUCUUGAUGUUUAAAUGUAAUACUAGAUUAAUAACACUCAAGGAUGGAAGCACUUAAUAUUAGAAGGCUUGAUUUGAGCUAAAAGGCCAAGAACACUUAGUGUGUGUUCUUGGUGUUUUGGAAAUCUAGACAAAAUACACAUAUGUGUGGAUGAUUAGAUGUAUAAACAUUAGAUUAAGUGUUUUACUAAAUUGAAAGGGUUAGAACACUUACAAGAUUGAAGAUUUGGAAUCAAAACUAGGAUGAUACUUGAAAGAGUUUGGAGUUUACUCUUUUAGAAAAUGGGGAGUAAACACAAAUGACUAGUUUUUGGGGAGUAAACUCAUACAUAGGUAUGAGUUCACGGUUUUUGGGUGAUUUUUCACCCAAAACAUAAAAGCUUGGUUGGGAAUUUCUAAGACGCGAGGUGUUUGCGGUUUUUAAAAAUCAAAACCCGAUACGGCACUUUCUUUCACCCGUUCGUUUAAAAAUAAUAUUAAAAUAAUCAAAUGAACUUUAAAUUUCUUAAAAAAAUAAGAAAUGAUGACAUUAACUUAUGAUACGAAGUGGUUGACUUUUAGGGUUUGGCCGAAUGGAAAUUUCGGGUUGUCACAUAUCCCCAUGUUAAAGGGAAUUUCAUCCCGAAAUUAGAAUUUAGAUAAGGAAGUAGGUAUGAAUGACCGAGUCGAGAGGAGGAAACUUCCUAAUUGAUUGGUUCAAGCGCUCCUAAGUGAAAUCGGGUCCUCGGUUGGUAUCCCAACGAACCUUCACUAACGGGCGAUGGCGUUGCUUCGUCCGCUUGACCUCUAUGCCUAGGGUCACUACGGUUCUAAUACGAAUGCGAGGAUCUCGUUAAUCUUGAUCUCGUCGAGUAGGCUUACGAGAGUCCUAACGGAAAGGUACAGUUUCAAGAUCGAGACACGAAGAGUAAAAUGUACGCUAUUGAGUUCGCGGAGUAGGUUUAGUCUGUGAGGUACAGGACCGAUUCUGGCAAGAAUCUCGGAGGUCCUAUCUAUAUUGGAUUUAGCUUUCCACACUUUACGAAGCGUAUUAAGCCAUUCCUAGAGUGAGAUUCUUUAAGGAAUUUGGUCUCUCACUUGGAAUUCCAAAGGUUCUUUCUCUUGCUAAACUUCCCAGUCAAGGGCCAUCCCUUGCUGGGUCAAAGUCGAAAGGGUUUCUGUAAUUUGCAAGGAGUUCUGGAUGAACUAUGACAGUAGGUUUGUAAGACCUAGAAUUUGGCGAAUGAUUUUCGGCGUCUCUGGUGUCGACAAAUUCUCAACGGUUUUGACAAUUUGUAAGAGUACUCAAAAUUUCCCACAUCACUAACAGUGUGUCAUAGAAAUUUGACUCUUCAAUUUCAAAACUCGUGCCUAGAGAACAUCGCGAAAAGUACCUCUGAAGGUAAUGUUUCCAUGGGUUUCUUUUUACUACGAGGGUAGAUAAGUAAGUCAUUACAUGGAGAAAUGACGAACUGAUCAAAGUAAGAAAGACAUACCCUACUUAUUUAGCUCAUGAAAAUUAUGGGCGUAUUGGUCCUAUCCGAAGGGUAUCACUACGGACUGGAAGUGUCCGCAUCGAGCUCGGAAGAUAGUCUUCCGGACAUCCUUCCCUAACACUCGAACUAGUGAUAUUCGGAUCUCAACUCCAUUUCUGAAAAGUAAUUCUUUCCUUGCAUCUGCUCAACCAAUUCAUCUAUGCGAGGCAGAGACAAUGAUUUCUAAUGGAAAAUCUGGACGGAGUCCUCAAUAGCCGAGGAAUAUACGAUGCAACCCGUCGAUCUCUAGUAGAAUAUGACCGGGGUUCUCCAAGGUGAGAAGCCUAGUCUUCUAAUUCUAGUUAUGUGUAGUUCGCUAAGUUGUCCGGGCUGUUCUUGUAUCUCCAUAGGUGUUUAGACUGUAGGGAAAUCUGUUUAUAGAAGUCAUAAUGGGUUCUAAGUUUGUUCACAUGACGAUGUGAUUACUCGUAGUCUUGGGCAGUUCUCCGUCCUGAAGUUCAUAUUAGAAUUCAUACAUGGUUUCACAAUCACAAUCUCGUGUAUACGAGUCGUGUAUAAUUAAGAUUGAAAAGGUAGUCGAAUAACUGAUUCUUCUUUAAGCUCACAUCCCAUCGAGGAAAAAGAAGUUAAAGUGGAAUCAUCAAUUCUAAACCUGUAGAACCUUGAUUAUAUAUCACUCUUAUGUAUACAUUCCUUGGUGAUAGAUCAACCGUAUGAAUCUUUGGGUUGAACUUGACGUACUGCAUAAGUGGUACUUCGGGGAUUUCUUCGAAAAAGAGAAGAACUAUGAGGUACUCUAGGCAUGAGCACUUUGGUGUUCUGUAAUGAAGGCUUCGCUGGAAAGGUGAUUUCGAAGAAAGAGAGGUACGUAUGAAGCUAGUAUGGUGUGGAUCAAAUUGAAUCUAGGUGUAUGAUAAUGUCGGAAUCAUACGGAAACUUAAAGACAUUAAAUUUGAACAUAAGGCGUUUACAGACAAAACACAACCGUGCAACCAUGAACAGAGUUAUAGUACUUUUAGAUUUACUACAAGAUUAAUGCUACGAAUAAGGCAUACUACAAAAGACAAGUAUACGCAGCACGAGCAUCCCUAUACAGACAGGAUCUCGCAAAAGGUAAGACUCUAGUUGCACUAGUUUCGGAUAGUUUAUAAGUCUGUUACAACAACACGCCUAAAUUAUAUUAACGAGGGUCCGACAUAGUUUCUCCUGUAGCUGAGAUCCUGAGAAUCUUCCCAUCAGCACCCGAGUUCUUCGCUAUCGGGCAAUCUUUCUUGAGGUGCCUAAUUUCACCGCAUUGGUGACAUAUCUGGAUAACACGAAGAUUGGUGGUGGAAGUGAGGUGUUUAGCCAGUGUUAUGUGCACAUGAGUGCCUUCCUCAUUACUCCACCUUGGAAAUUGCUUCCUAAAGUGUUCAGCUUUAUCACUACUCUCGUGUGUGGGGUUGGUCCCGAUGAAAGGGACUUGAGUGAUGGGUCGUUUCGGUGCUCCACGGCUACGAGCAUGGCGCCCUAUUUUUAGGCCAUUGCAACAUUGAAUCUCAUGGCAAGCCCCAUGAUGAUGGAAACUACACUUAUCACACUUCGGGAGUUUUCCCUCGUAUGGCCUGCUCGGUACGGGAAUGGCAGGGGGUUCCAUUGUUGCUGUNGCAGGGGUUUCCACUUGUUGCUGUUGCAUGGAAAGUGUUUGGGAUUUCUUGCGUUCUUUCUGGGCUUGACGCUUUUGUUUCUUGUUCUCUGUCUUUCGGCUUUGCGAGCCUGUGACUGUUACUGUUUGGCGACUUCCUGGAUGGAUACCACGAUUGGAAACUUCAAUCCCAUCAUCAGCAUUGAUUGUGCUGAUAGCGCUACGGUGCACAAGGAUAGCUGUCACGACAGUUGUAACUGUGGUUUGAAAGGUAGCGGCAUCCAUAGGAAAGGUAGAGGUUUCAUUGUUCGACUGAUUGUUUCCGGAAGACGACAUGAUUGUGUAACACAAAAUAUAAGGAUUUUGUGAGCGGGUUGACCCUAGAUGUACUUCGAUUGUUCAAGAAAAGAGUAAGACUUUGUUUUCGACACUUUGACCUACAUCCCUAUGAUGCAGUCCUAGUACGUAUUGGAAGUGUGUUUGUAGAAUGGUCUCAAGACGUUUUUCAUUCAAGCCGAGGUAUCGUGGGUUGGUGAAUAACAGGAUCCAACCACUAAAAGAGACUUGGAGAUGUCUCUGGAGCUAAAUUACUAUAGUCCAAUGACUUGACUAAAGCAUGUUUCAGAUAGACUCCAAUGAAAGUAUGAUAAGAGUACGUGAAUGAAGAAUGACACAGAAGUUAGCCGGCUGUCAAUAUCUUUGAUAUUCACGACGUAAAGAUUCGGAAAAAUGACCUUGUAAAGGUCUUACAUCAUAUCCAGAGAAGACAGUUCUUGACAGCCUAAAGACCUAACCAAAAGUACUUACAGUACAAGAUAAUUUCAUAGAAAAUGCUACAUCGGCAUGGAAAGAAAAACAAUUCCUUUUAAUAAGGAAAAUAAAGUAAAGCGUCUACUACUGGCGACAGUCAUCCCUCUGGUGAACUCUCAGUUCAGCCAGUUGACGUUCCACGUCAAGUAGGUGUCUUUCGUACACCCUCUAGCGUACUCGGAGCUCUAAGACAUCGGCUCGUGAUUCAGCCAGUGCUUGCAGCAGGGUUUCAUGGUUUCUCUCAGAUCUCUCGCGAGCAUCUUCUUGACGAAUGGUGCGGAGGGUAUGCAUUCUCGCAUCGACGAAAACUUCGGUAAUCUGAUGUAGGGUUGUCCUGCCUUGAAUCUUAUUUCGGGCCAUUCUACGGACAAAGAUUAGCAAGGUUCUGUCUGCUGAGCCCCCAUUGCUCAGGUCGCAAAAGCUUCGGCCACCAUUAAAUGGCAUGAGCUGAUCUUGUCCUUAGCUCCAUGUUUCCAAGCAUUCCACCCACUCAGGCGUCGGGCCUUGAAAAGCCGGACGAGGGUUAGGAAUUGGAAAGGGAGCUGCUUGGGGUAGGUUCUCAAUCUCUGGUUCGGAGUUAGCAUCGUCCGAAAGGCCUUCAUCAUGGUGAUCAUUCAAAGGGAUAGGAUGAUCAUUCUCUGGUUCUUCUUCAAACCAACGUGCUAUGACUUCGUUCGGAAGAUACUGGUAGCCGUGGGGAUGGAGUCCAGCCAUGUUAUCUACGCAAGAAUUGGGGUAAGAAAAUAAUUGUUAGACGAACUAUCUAGAUAAUUAUUUAGAAAAUCUUCAUUAGUUACAUCACUAUUUGUGAAGUGCAUACCAAUUAUAUCUAAUCGAAAGAGGAUAGGCCUUCGAAUAUGUGACCUUAACUCCAAAUUCACACAGAAUAGGGGUAAAGUAAAAUUUUCACAGAUUCUAAGUCUAUAACAUCCUAAUUACAUAUAGCCUUUGUGUAUCCACUUAGAAACUAUCAACUUAGUAAUGAAGAUCCCGUUUUAGUUCUCAAGUAUAACGUACUUAUAAUAACACCAAAUACUCCUAUAGUAUUUUAAGUUUAAUGUUAUGUUCUACCGUUCUCAUUGUGGUAGGGUUGGUAAGAUUUUAGACUUGUUGCAACCACACAAUUAAACUUAGGCACAUGCUAGUCAACCCUCGGANAAAGUAUACUUUUAGUUCAGAGCACUUAGGCCCCUUAAUGUUUAUAGUCUUAUACCAUGUAAGGUUUGGUAUACUAGUUCACUAUAAACAAGGGCUCUGAUACCAAUCUGUCACACCCCGAAACCCAGGGCGGAAACAUUUCGGGGUGGAGGAUGUCAUGAAUAUCGCAACCAACGCACAGAGUAAGCAUAGUAUGUCACACCCCAAAACCAAGAACGGCGAAAACAUUCUGGGGUGGAGGACGUCAUGUACAGUAUCACAACAGUGUAAAGUAGUAAAUAAGCAACAACAUCAUCCAUUGCAUUAUAAGUAAAGUUUUAAUACAUGUGUGUUCUUUCAUUGUAAUAAGACACCAAAAACAUACAAUAAAAAUAAAAGACGAGAAUUGUCUGUGCUCCGUCUUCUCAAAACCUGGCCAUCGUACCUGUCUACUAGUGACCUGAGAAUACAGGUUAUUUUGAAAGAGAGUAUCAUCUUAAAGCUGGUGAAUUCAUAAGUAUUUAAGUGUCCUUGUCUUGUUUCUGAAAAACUGUUAUGAAUGCCAUGCAAAUCUUUAAGUAAGAUAGUUGAUAUAAGUAUGAAAAACCCUAGGAAAUCCCUUAUUUCCUAUUAGUAUGAGAUGUAGUCUUCUACCAAGACCCGAAUGUUUUGUUAUGACAAUAUAGUCUUCUACCAAGACCCGAAUGUUUUGUUAUGACAAUGUAGUCUUCUACCAAGACCGGAAUGUUUUGUAAGUAAAAUGAUAGUUUUUCCUUCUUUUUGACUAUCACAAACAGUAAUUAGUCUAACUCAUCGUUCAUGUGAAUAUAUCACAAACUAAAGUAAAUAGGAAAAAUAUAACCAUGUAAGUAUUAUCCCUGGAUACCAGGACUAACACGCCAUCGCAGUAAGCGAAAUGUAUAACCUAAUGAACAUCCGAAGAUUGUUCAAUUGUCCUCUGUAGCAGUAGCAGGUUGGAGGAAGGGUUAGUAUCGUAGCCGACUCCUAAUAUAAGUAGUAACCUAAUGAACAUCCAAAGAUUUUCAUCUCAUCCUCUGUUGCAACAACAGGAUGGAGGAAGGGUUAGUUCCGAUAUGGAUUUAACUAGUAUAAGUAAUAACCUUAGACAUCCGUAGAUGUUCAUCACCCAAUGGUGCUAACAGCUGGGUUCUGGAAUGGUUAGUCCCAUCUAGACAUCCCGUCGAACAGGGAUAGGCAGGAAAAUUUACACAGAAGGUACGAAUAAAUCUUCCUCAUAACUCUAGGUACAAGUAUCCAGGUAAGUGAAUAGAGGAUAAAGUAUCUAUUUAACAGUAAUCAUGUAUGGUAUUCAUGUACGUGUAUUCAGAUAAAUGUAUCUAUGUAAACGUACUCAUGUAUCAUGUAAUCCUAGCUAAAUGUACUCAUGUAUCAUGUAAGCAUAUGUAAGUGUACUCAUGUAUCAUGUAAUGUACUGGUAUAGACUCAUGAAUGAACUGACUCUUGUGUGAUUCCUUGUAAUAGGAAUAAUGUUUUGUAUCUUCUAACUAUCCCUAUGAUAAUUAACUGAAAGGUAAUUGGUUGGUCAAGAAAGUAAAGUUAAUGAUUUUGCAAGAUAUCUAAGAGUUUUGAAACAAUAAUAAAAGUGACUUGAUGUCAUUUUAGAUAAACCUUUCAAAAGUAAUACAUUUGGUAACCAAGUAUUUUUAAGAUAUAAAAACCAUUUCAUGCAUCACAUUUUGUAGUAUGUGAAAUCUGCUGGAUGAAAACACAGUUAUAAAUUACAUAUGAGUGAUUUAAUAACAUGCUGUUUUCUACGUGUAUUCCUCCCCCCAUUAAAGGCAUUUAAAAACAUUUGAAAUAUUAAUUUAGGGGUAUGAACUUACCUGUAGAAGGUGCUUUGGAUGAACCGAGCGCUGUAGGAUUGUUAGGUGUCAAGUGAGGACUUGUUCACACUCAAUGAUCCUAGUUAACAUAUAAUCACACAUAUAUGUAUCCAAUUAGACUUUAAGCCACUAAUUGAAAAAGUUAAGACAUCCUAAGGCAUGUAAAACACAUUAUAUAAGUGCUACAUAGCCAUAAGGAUUGCAUCUAAGUGCUAAAGGACGUUGCUAUUGUGUUUGGGGUUCAAGGGUAAACCCCCUUGGAGUUUACGGCAGUAAACUCUAGAGUUUACGGUCGUAAACUCUAGUCCUAAUGACCAUGUGUUGUUUUGUGGUUUAACAAGCCUAUUGAAGCAUUUCUACUAAGUGAUUUGGCCUUUGGAAGGGACUAGGGCAUCAAAAACACUCCUUGGAGGAGUUUACGGCCUCAUGGACUUUUCCCUUUGGGUUUACUACCGUAAACCCUCAUGGAGAAGGGUAUUGCCAUGUUUUCAAAUCCUUGACACAAUUAGGUAAGUGUAUAAACUAGUUUCUAAGCCUAAGGAAGGAAAAUGACCAACUUAAACACACUUUAGGGUGUUUAUGGUUUUGGGAGAUCCCCAAACCGUAAACACCUAUAAUUGUUGGUCUUUGAUGUUUUUCAAGGCUUAAACACAAUAAGGAAGGGUUUAAACAUGUCAAGGAUGGUUUAUACAUCAACUAGGACUUAGAUUAGGGACUUAGGCACACUUUGGUGCCAUUUAUGGUGUUUGCGGCCCAAGAACAUUCUUGGACCAUGAACACCUCUAAUAUUGUGUUCUUGACAUACUUUCUUGAUGUUUAAAUGUAAUACUAGCUUAAUAACACUCAAGGAUGGAAGCACUUACUAUUACAAGGCUUGAUUUGAGCUAAAAGGCCAAGAACACUUAGUGUGUGUUCUUGGUGUUUUGGAAAUCUAGACAAAAUACACAUAUGUGUGGAUGAUUAGAUUUAUAAACACUAGAUUAAGUGUUUUACUAACUUGAAAGGGUUAGAACACUUACAAGAUUGAAGAUUUGGAAUCAAAACUAGGAUGAUACUUGAAAGAGUUUGGAAUUUACUCUUUUGGAGUUUACUCUUUUAGAAAAUGGGGAGUAAACACAAAUGACUAGUUUUUGGGGAGUAAACUCAUACAUAGGUAUGAGUUCACGGUUUUUGGGUGAUUUUUCACCCAAAACAUAAAAGCUUGGUCGGGAAUUUGUAAGACGCGAGGUGUUUGCGGUUUUUAAAAAUCAAAACCCGAGACGAAACUUUCUUUCACCCAUUC
rnacentral:lncRNA from 1 species